CUGUCUAAUUUACAAGGCAAUCUCUGAGCGAUCUAGCUUCUUCUUUUCUGUUCAAAGCAGCCACCAUUCUCGCGCAAUCGGUCUCAAAACCACCGGCAUCUAUCUUAUCUUAUAGAUCGAAUCCUGAACCCAUUUCUCAAUGCAGAGUGAGUCACGUCACCACCACUGCCGCAUAUAUCAUGGGAUCGUGAGUCGUCGGAUGGAAGAACGCAGCGUCGUGAGCUGUCUCGCGAUUCUUCACCUUCCCGAUCUCCCACAGGCCCGCUCCAAAUUAGACUAUUCGAAAAUUCCGCCCCGCUCCUCCUUCCAUCUCCGCGCCGCCGCCUCCUGCGCCCCGUCGAGCCCCCCACCCCCCUGCGGGAACUCCUCUCCUGACGAGCCAUCUUCACUGGAGCGCCGCGUCCAUGAAUUGCAGCGCCGACCUCGGCGAGCUCCUUAGCGCCCUGCUCGCCGUCGCCGCGCCGGAGGGCUUCGCCUUCGUCCGAGGCGUCUGCACUGGGGACUUCCCCCGGAGGACCGCCGCGCGUGUCUUUGCGGCGCUCCGUGGAUCGCCGUCAAACGCUGCGGCCUGGUCUUCCGGCGCACCGGGGCCUGAUCCAAUGGCUGCUACGCGGCUCCAAGCACGCAGACAUCAACGCCUCGCUGCCGGAUGGAGAUCAUGAUUCCAGUAGCAGCAAGGUGUUCUGCCACGGGACUUCACCGGCUCGAACAUGGACGGAGCUAUAUUCAGAAGCUGCAUUCAAUGAGUUGAAGUUUUGGGCACCAUCAAAAUACAGUAUGUGGUAUACAAGAUCUUGGGUCUAUAUUCUACAUGACCAUGGGCAUGAUAGAAGCCCAUGGCGGCGGCAUAGAUCGAGGUCCGCGCGCGGCUGACCCGAUCCAUCGAUUUGGUCGCUGUCCUCGUCGGUGCCAGGAGGUCGGCGCUAGAGGUCAAGAAUGGCCAGAUCCAUUCCUUCCUCUACUCGGAGCUUGGAUGCGGUCAGAUCCCUCGCCUGCCUCCAGUGAUAUGGUUGCUAGCUGUUGUCUCUGGGUUUUCACAGGAGGUGGAUAUGCUGAACUAUUGAAACAAAAUGGUUUUGCUGAGUUCUACCUUAGACAGGUGCAGUAGGUUCCUUCAAUUCCCUUCUCAAAUAUUUGCCUUAUGUUGCUCUUGACAUACACAAGUGUCGGUGAAUUAGGAACCAGGGGUCCCCGAAUCCUGAGACCAGGCCAGCAAUCCGCCACGUGGCGACAUCCCGCGGGGUGACCUUCGUGAGGUAAAAAAGACUAAGUCCCGGGAGAGAGCGCUCGGGGCCACAGUCAGUGGUCCUCGAGUACCCGGGUUCCCCGAUGAUCUGCGAGGACUAAAGUGACCGGGGAGAAAGUGCUCGGGGAGGUGAACAGUGACCCCCGAGCACCCAAGUCCCAUGACAAUUAGGAGAACCCAGUACCGGGAGAGGUGUGCCCGGGGCUGCGAGCAGUAGCCCCCCGGGCACCCGAGUACCCCGAGGACUCAAGGAAGGAAGUUCCGGAAGAGAGUGCUGCGAGCAGCGGCCCCCGAGCACUCGGUUCCCCGAGGAUUCGUAUAGUCAAGUCCGGGAGAGAGUGCUCGGGCCAUGAACAGUGCCCCCCGAGCACUCGGUUCCCCGAGGACCCAGGAAGCCCCCUGACAGUGGCCCCCACAGGGGUCCAGCGAUGAGGUGUCAGUCAGUUAAAGGCCUAAGGCCGCAUUUAAGAGCGCGCGUGGCCUGUCACCUCCAACUGCUCCCGCCACGCUCGGUUUCAGUUCCUGCCAUAUUCUGGCAGAAGGACGUGGGGACAUUUAAUGCAUGGGUCCCAUCCCGCGCUAUCCGUUGCGCCUCGGGAUAGCAUCGCGAGGCCCGAGGCGUUCCGUCUGCCGCGCUGCUGUGGCAGGCGAACAAGACGGGGCGGGCACGCCGAGCCGCUCUGUGGCUGCCCGGUGGGCCCUCUCCUCGGCACCUGUUGCCAGCGCCAUAAUGACGACUGAAGACCGGGCGCGGGGCGCGUUUUCAACCCCCGUCACUUCGCGCAGAGGCUAUGAGCCUUUUCCAUUUAUGACGUUUUGGAAUUCGUGCCCUCCCAUUCGGGGCACGCUACCACCGGCGGGUAUUUAAAGCGACCGGCAGCACGGACAAAAGGGAAGUCUGAAGUCUGAAGGGUGAAUUAAUUGAUAGGCAGCGCUCGAACUCUGAGACGAGCACACUCAGAGCCAACAGACACACACAGAUCAAAGACCACAUUCGUACGAGCAUAGAAACCGAAGAACAAGGAGCCCCAGGCUCUAGGAUAGACAGACAUUCUUGUAACUAGCACAUUCCUGGGAGACAUUCUCAAGACAUUUAUAGCAUCCACACAGGAGUAGGGUGUUAUGCGCAAUACGGCCCGAACCUGUCUAAAAAUCCCCUAGCACAUUUACUCCUUUCUGUAUUAGAUCAUUCCACUCCACCUGUCAUCGCAUUUACACCCAUUUAUUUCUCCGGCAAACUUAUUCAGAAUCAUCCCCCGGCCGAAUCUAUAAAAAAGGGUCCCUCAGAAUCCCUGCGACAGGAGCUAACCCUCCGAUAACAAACCAACCCAACAAAAGGUUUCUCUUUGAUAUGCACAGUCCAUACCUAUUGCAUGAUUUUCAAUUUGUCAAGUGGAUACAUGAAUCUUUUUAGGAUCUUCUACUUUCUGAUGCAUCAUUUAUUAGCUACACAUUUUAGACUAUUGGUCUGUAUUCCAUUUAUCUGUAGCAACAGCGUGCAUGAUGCUCUUCCUUUUUCACAUGCAAGAUUGCAAAGUUAUAUGCUUAAUUGAACUAUUCAUUACUUUCCACUGGAGACGGACUGAAACCGUGUUUACCUAAGGUGGACAUAUUUAUAUAUGUUUUAGUGCCUACGGUUCAUUUUAAACCAUGUAACUAAUGAAUUAUCUCAGCUUUUAAAUAGAACUACAGCUAGUACUUUUUUUUACCAUUACUAACGCGUAAGGCAUUAGCUAUAUAUGCUCCUUAAAUCUUCAUUAUCACUGUACAUUUAAACAUUUGUGUGUAUAUCCUUUUAUAUUAUUUAACAUAAUUUCAUUGGAUCCCGAGCCCAGCGACGAGAUUCCUCCAUAAUUUUUCUCAGCCACACUUAUUUUCAAUCACACUCAAUAUUGAUUUCAUGAGUUCUGAUCACUGGAAGGGACCACAACUUAAUUAUGGCUCCCAAUGUAAACAAUAUCCUUGGAUUUUUUAUCUUUGCUUCGGCUGAACCAACAGAUCAAGGUUAAACUACAUGAUUAAACAAAAGUUCAGUCAAUCACCACUUACACUAUUGUUAUAUAUGUUGAGUCAACUGCUCUUCUACUUGGUUAUACUACAUGAUACAGAAUUCAACUGCACUGGCCAUCGAAGUACAAAUACUAGCUAGCGCGGCUUUGCCGUGCGUUUGUUCCAGUAUGAACCCAUUGUCCUGCCACCAUUAAGCCCUCGACACACGCCAACACCUCUGCCUACCGCAAUGGAACAGGGCCCUCCAGGCUGACAGCAAAACCUCUCCUUUUUAAUUUCUGGCAAUUACCCUAACACCUGCAUCUCCUGCUUGUUCGACAAAGGAGUUUGCCCAACCAUCUCGUGGCACUUCCCAUCUACUUUUCUCUAUUGAUCCCUCGAACCAAACACACCAUAAUUUUUUGUUAAACUCCGAGCGCAGUUGGGAUUGAUAUGUCGACACGUAGAUGCAAGCUCUAUAGAUUCUUGUGGCACGUACAGCACGCUCUUCCUGCGAUCUCUCUAUUCCUGUCUGAGCAAAUAAUGUACUGUGUUCUGUUCACGAUUGAUUGAAGUGGGAGAUUGGCUGCCGGUGCUGUGCUGAUGAUCGUAAGAUCUGACAUGGCCCGGCCCCUCUCCCUCCUUUCUUCAGUGCAGCGCUGGCUGGGAAUUGUAAUAAGUGGCAUGUGGACGAGGUGGUGGUAUGACCAAUUUUGUAUUGGUGCUUGCAUGCAUAUUAUUUAUAUGUCGCAUGUACAACUGCACGUCUAUGAAUAUGGGCAUAAUAUGGCUAGCUCUUACGAAAUCUACAAUAGAAGGGAAUUGCAUGCAGAGACAAAAAGAGUAUAUUAACAUGAAUUGUCUGCUUAUUACUGGUUACACUAUACAGAAGGAAAGCUUAAUUUACAGCUCUACCUCAGUUUGUCUCUCAUCCUAGCUUCAAUGCGAAAUGAGUAACCGAAAAGAUUAGCAUGUAAAUGGACAGUUAGUUCACCUGAUUCUGAUUGGAACCAACACGUGCCAGGUGUUGACAAAUAGAACGGCUUUCAGGAAACGAUAGAUUGAGAGCAGCACAUAUAUAUCAUGAAUCAAAGUUUGAGAGAUUGCUACAAGGACGAGGAGCAAAGAAAGAAAAGGAUAGUUGCGGUCCAGCACGCGAAAACGCAACAACAUCCAAGGCCCAAAUGCAUCUCGUCCAACCCAGCCCAAUAGAUGCACAAUAUGCGCACACAGCUAAAAGAGGAGCCCAAAAGGGCCCAUCGGUAUAUUUUUUUAAGGCCUAAACUCCCUCGCUCCCUAGUACUAGUAAUCAGUUUCCUCUCAAAAUAAAAAAAAAGUAGUAAUCAGUUCCUGCAAAUGUAUUUUCCUAUAAAAAGUAGUCCAGGCUAAGUGAUUAUUCUUUCUCUCUCUCUUUUUUUUCGCGAGGACGGACACUGGUGAGAUUUCAAUUGUGGCAUGCAGGACUUGGUUUGAGAGUCAAGCGAACUUUUUGUUGGAAAUAGUGUAUCCUAUCCGGCCAGAAAUAGACAGAUGGUACCGUACACUUGAAAGGAGUAUACAGUAUGGUUUUCAUGUGGCGAAAAAGCAGUCUCGUCUUGGCAUGGCAGCCUUCGCCUUUGGUCUGCUACAGAGAAGGACCCAGGUAAAUGAGCACCAAAAGUAUGCAUGAAAUAGUGAUACGGUAGAUGGGCCCACUUCUCAAUCACUAUUCUACAUAAUUUGUCUCUAGCCAUCGAAUCUGUAUAUGUUUAUGUUUGUUCACUAUUCUGAUAAUAUGUGAACAAACAUAUACAUUUAUUGAAAAAGCUCCUUAAAUUA